rnacentral:rRNA from 1 species
UACGUAGGGUGCAAGCGUUGUCCGGAAUUAUUGGGCGUAAAGAGCUUGUAGGCGGUUUGUCGCGUCUGCUGUGAAAUUUCGGGGCUCAACCCCGAACUUGCAGUGGGUACGGGCAGACUAGAGUGUGGUAGGGGAGACUGGAAUUCCUGGUGUAGCGGUGAAAUGCGCAGAUAUCAGGAGGAACACCGAUGGCGAAGGCAGGUCUCUGGCGAUAACUGACGCUGAGAAGCGAAAGCAUGGGGAGCGAACAGG